UGAAUUAAAAUACCACCACCUUCAUCAUCACCAUCAUUGUCGUCAUCGUUUUUAUUUUUUCCUUCAAGAGAAUUGUAAGUGUACAAAGAAUCGAAUGAAAAAAAACUGUCACCCGGUUUCGUAUAAUCAAAUCAUAUUACACUGAACAACGGCAAUGAUGAUGAUAAUAAUAUUUUUUCAAAAAAAAAAAAAAAAAAAUGAAAGAACAAAUACGUACACAUGGAUGCCAACAAACAAGGUGAUUAAAUUUUCAAUUGUGUUUCGAAACAAAAUAUUGUCGUUCCAGAAAAAAAAGUCAUCAAUUUGUCACAAUGGGGUCAUCACCACUAAUCAAAAUGCAAAGAUUCAACAGGUCGUCACAGGCAUCAACAUUAAAUACGAUUGUUCAUUGUGUAAAAUUUAAAAUGUAAAUGUAUGCCAUAUGCGAAUCGAAGUUUUCAAGUUUCACACCACCACUAUGCUUUGUCACAAUUUUUUUUUUAUUUUCAACGAGGCACCUAUUUAUUCAAAAGAAUUUUAUUCUCAAAUAUCACUUGGGUAAUAAAAAAAAACAACUCUAAUGACAACAACCAAAAGAAAUUCUUAUUAUCCAUUAUCCUUGUCUUGUAUUUUUCAAAUACUUUUACUGUUUUUUUUUUCGUUCGACAUUUGAAUUCGAUCACGAAUUUUAAAUAAAGGAAA